ensembl:lncRNA
AUAUAUAUAUAUAUAUAUAUAAUAAAUUGCUUGAUUGAUUGAUUAGCUGAAACAUGUUUGGUUUUGCAUAAAAAAUAAGACAUUUUUAAAACUAUGAAGCUACUUGAUCUGCAUGAUCUCUUUAUGAUGCGAUAGAGAUUUAAGUCACAGUGAGUCUGUGCUGUUAUAGAAAAACAAUCAACGAUUUUUUUUUCCUCUUAUACCACAGCACGUUGCCAAAAAUGCAUUUUUUAACAUAUUAGUGAAUGGCAUAUUGUACUUUUUUUAAAUCCAUUUAUAGUUAUAGUUACAUUUAUUAUUUUGGGACGCACAAUGCAAAGAAAUCUUAGCAAGUAAAGAUGACUUGAAUAUAAUCAAAUGUAUCUAGUAUUUCAUACAAUAGGAUUAUAAUUUUUUUUUAAAAACCCCGAAAGUUUACACUUUUCAAGCUUGAAAUUUUUUUAUUCUCUUGGCAGAUACUUUUGCCAGAUAAAUCUGACUACAUUCAAGUGCUUAGAUGGUUAUUGUGGUUAUUAAUGGUUAUUUUGCAGUGUAGCACUAGUACAAAACUAAAGAAGCAAACGUCAAACACAUCUUGACUUUAUACCGUGUUUUUUUUUUUUUUUUGCCGAACCAAAAUUUCACCAGCUGACUCUGAGGAUAGUACUGUAGAUCCCAGAACAGUCAGUUCACCCUGAUUGAAGCACUUCUAACUGCUGUCAAUCAACAACAUUGACCUGUCGCUAUUGGUGCUUUAAUAUAAAUACCGGCAGCAUUAGCACACACAAGACCUCUGUGUAAUGUAGUCUGUUUGUUUUUAUACCUCUUCGGUAAAGAAAAAAUCCCCCAGAAUACCCAGUUCUCAGUCUAAAUAUAUUUUAUGCAAAGCAGACCUCACUCAAGCUGUUCUCUGUACAGCGUUCGAUCUUUUUCUCAGUGGUUUAACAGGCUAGUCUUUAAAGCAGAGGUUCUGAGAAAAUAAAAAUAAACAUUUACACGUAAAUAGAAACUUAUUUAACAUAAAAUAUUUCAACUUUUUAAAUAUUAGGGACUAUAUUUAAACAUGUAGAAUAAUAUAUUGCCUAUUUAAUGCAGCCGCAGAACUUCUUUUAAAAUAUAAUAUGAUUUCUGAAACUGUCUCUGAGAGAACACACUUUCGUUUUAGUUUAAUAAAUAAACUUGUGCCUGUUUUUGAAUUAGCGAGGUCUGGAUGAAACCAACUCAACUGACGUGACCAGUCAAACCUGCUAUAGCUAUAAUAACUUGAUAAUAAAUAUGUAACUAAGCUCGAAACUUAAAGCAAUCAUGGACACCCUUUGCGUUACAGAACCCUGGGUGUUCCUGGACCCCGCUUUAAUACGUGUCUUUAAUGCUACUAUGCCCCCCAAGAUGUAUUUCUUUAGCUUGUCCCUUAAAAGUUGUAUUUUUCCCCCUUGAAGAAACCUUGUGCAGAAUUCAAGGUGUUGAAGAAUCUGUCUGUUUUUUUGGACCCUAAUGAUUUUUUUUGGUUUGUUGCUUAAAGUUUCUAUUUAGAACCUAACAACCAUUUUCCUUAAAGCUACAUCUACAUUAAUCCUGAUAACAUUUGAAAAAUUUUAUUUUACUAUUUGUCUUGUUUUUAGAUACACAACUGUUUCCUUUAUAUUAUUUCCACCUCCUGUUUACAGUGACUGAUUUUUUUUUUACACAAAAUGUUUUGUACACAAAACUCUUGAUUUCUUCUUUGCCGUGUUAUUCUAGAGUAUUUUAUCCUCUGUGUAAAGGUGCUCCCUUUGAAAUCGAAGCCAUUCUCUGUCAUUACUGCAAACUGUCCGUUAAGAUCAGUUACUCAUUUGUCGGUUUAUAUUAAUAAUGUGACGUGAUUGCAAGUCUGAGAAGACGUGUAAAUAGUUCUGUCUUUAUUUGAAGAGCAGUUCGAUGAACGGACGGACGUCCUGACACUUCGUGAUUCGGCUCAGACUUUUCAUUCGAGGUGGUUGAUGUUUUCAGUCAUAGCUUUCUGUGUCGAGCGUGUCGAUUCUAAACUCUUACUAGAUUGUUUGCACACAAAAAACAAGCAUUGAUUUGACUGUAUAUUCUUCCAAAAAAAAAACACAAUAAACUGG